rnacentral:rRNA from 1 species
GAUGAACGCUGGCGGCGUGCCUAAUACAUGCAAGUCGAACGAAUCUUCUUCGGAAGAUGAGUGGCGAACGGGUGAGUAAUGCAUAGGUAACCUGCCCCUGUGCGGGGGAUAACAGGAGGAAACUCCUGCUAAUACCGCAUAGCCAUGAGCACCGCAUGGAGCUCAUGCCAAAUAUCCUUUCGGGGAUAGCGCAGGGAUGGACCUAUGGCGCAUUAGCUGGUUGGCGGGGCAACGGCCCACCAAGGCAACGAUGCGUAGCCGGCCUGAGAGGGCGGACGGCCACAUUGGGACUGAGACACGGCCCAGACUCCUACGGGAGGCAGCAGUAGGGAAUUUUCGGCAAUGGGGGAAACCCUGACUGAGCAACGCCGCGUGAGCGAAGAAGGCCUUCGGGUCGUAAAGCUCUGUUGUAAAGGAAGAACGGCGCAUACAGGAAAUGGUAUGCGAGUGACGGUACUUCACCAGAAAGCCACGGCUAACUACGUGCCAGCAGCCGCCGUAAAAC